GGGGAGUUAGGGAAGAGACAGAGAGAGAGAGAGAGAGAGAGAGAGAGAGAGGGAGAGAGAGAGAGAGAGAGAGAGACCUGCAGGUGAUGACUAGCUGUUGAAACAAGAGAGGAGGGGGGCUCCUGUUGGGGGUAGCAGUCACCAAUGGCAUUGGGGGGCUCUCUAGCAUGUCAAGAAGAGGUAGGGACUCAGGGACCAGCGAGCAGAGGCUGACUUCAUUCUGAGAGAGGGACCCAGCUACAAGUCAACAGGCUGAGGCAGUAGCCCUCUGAAGGAAGCAGAGCCACAAAGCAAGUCUCAGUGUAGUCCAAGAAGCAGAAAUAUCAAGGACGUCUAAGUUAACUACUAAGGAAGGCCAUGAAAAGAGAAGCCCAGAACCCUGCCAAGCUGGAGAUGAAUCCAACAGAGUGAGCAACACAGCGCACCUACACGGUGGACUAACAAUGGGAUUGCAACACUGGUCACAUGGUGCAUUGAAAAGCUACCCUGUACAAAACUUACCUGUAUAUGUGAUAUGCAGCCUGCUCUCAAAGCUGGAAAUCAAAGCCCAUUCACACUCCCCUAUGUGAAAGUCUGUUCUUACCACACCACCAUUUCCUGCUCAGUGUGUGG
rnacentral:lncRNA from 1 species